UCCAGGCUCUAGGGUAGUUGACAUCUGAAAGCAUUUACACACAUCUGAAGUCACAGCUGUGUGCAUGACUUGACUCUAAACACAAUGCAUGCAAGGUGCCCCAUAAAUAAGACAGACAGGGAUGUUUGCAGCUCUCUGAGCUAUUGUUUCAGCUUGUGUUUGCCACACUGGUUACACAUGCUUCUUCAUGUAUACAAUACACACAACAAGAUGCUGUAAAUUACAUUAUAAAAUGGGGAGAGAAAGCACGUGGUGGGGCUGGCUGAAUGGCAUAAAGCCCAGAAGAGAAGCCAACAGAGUAGGCCUGGAAUGGCCAUCUGCUUUCAUCUGUCCCUGGCUGAAAGGGACUCCAGGUUUGAAUGACUUUUCCUUGCAGUCACCUACAGCUAAUUAGCUGCUGCCAUUUCCAAGCUUCCCUGGCUGACUGCCCAGCCUUCACAGCAGCGUUCAGGUAGCGACCUCCAGCCUUUCAUCCAGCAGACCUUGACUGUUCUUUCACCCAAAGCUAAUUGACAAAAGCAGCAAAGGCAUGUUCUAGUUUCCUAGCACAGCUCUACUUUAAUCUUGGACCAGAAGUCCGUUUCAGCAAGGCUUGCUGUUAUCCAUGGCUUCCCGUAUCUAUGACAAGUCAAGCCAGGUUCAUGCUGUGGAAGGACAUGUUUUGUGACAGGGUGGAAUUCAGUAAGAGGCCGCACGCUCUCUGUUACACAUGGACCUGCCAAAUAAGAUCAGAGACCAAUGGAGAAAAACCUGCCCUGACAGGAACAUUCCUCCUUGGUUGUGAUAAGACUUGUUCUCCCCAGAAGGCACAGAAGAGGGGCUCUGCUUCCAGACACUGCUUACCUAUCGCUCCAGGAAGACACAAGUGCAGAAACACCAAACAGAUGCCACUCAUCAUGGACCUGAAGGAGCGGAUGUCCUUUCUUACUCUGUGCCCUUCUCUCCUGACAGUCCAGCUUCUCAGCAGCCGACAGCAGGCAGUUGGACAAGGCCACCUGUCAGAGCUAAUUGGCUCUUCUUUGAGCCAGUGGUGGCUUCGGGGAUCGGCACUGAACUAAAGGGCUUUUGGCAGUGUUUGAAGAAGGAGAUAGUGGAUCUUUUUCAUUUCUAUGAUAAUGUACAAUUGUGGCAAGCUUCCUAUUUCACUGCGUAAUCUCUAUAACCGGUUCCCAUUAUUAGUCUGUACAGCAGCCCGAGCUUGUCCUCCACGCUUCUCCUAGACGCUCCAGAAAUGUUAAUGCUGCUCUGUGACUCAGUCUGCACCAUUGCCAAUGCUCAGUCAAGCCUCUGACAUGUUCACUGGAUUCACUCCUUUUCUUUUUCCUGAGUCCAUCCUGCCUAAGCUGGGGUGGAUACCUUUGUGUGAUUGCAAAAACAAUGUAUAAUGAAACAUUUUAAUUUUGGGAAAGCAACCAUAGCAGUUAAAGUUAAAAUCAUGGUGAUAUUAUGAUAGGGAAAUCAUAGUAAUGUUCUUGGAAGACUUCAGAACCCAUGCUUUUUUAUUUAAACAAAGAAAACAAAUUCUGUAAUUUUUUUAAAACAAUGAGAAAUGGAUUUCUAAACCAUCCUUGGUUUCCCCCAUUUUUAAAUAUUUUUUGUAGUCUCCCCAAUCACAAGAAGUGCCAGAGCAAAAAAUAAUUCCUCAGGCCUACCCAGUUGGAACAUAAGACUGGGACUAAGUUCUAAACCCUGUAGAGCAGUGAAAGGUACUUAGAGGCUUUGAACUACUCAUUCAUUCACACUUUGGCUUGCCUUACUAGGUUGUUGUGAGGAUAUAGUUAGGUUACAGGAUCCUGCCAUGUUACUACUUAUUUUCCCAGUCAAGCCCUAUAAAGAGUAUAAGCUAUUCUUGCUCAUUUCAACAUGUUGCUUUAUCCCAAUUACUAGCAUUUUAAAUUAAUGCGGUUUGACACCACUUUCUCUGCCAUGCCUCAGUGCUAUGGUAUCCUGGGAUCUGUAGUUCGUGAGAUACCAGAACACUUUGGCAGAGAAAGCUAAAGACCUUGCAAAAUGGCAAUUGAGUCCAUAACAUUGAGCUGUGGUGCAAACUGCGUUAAUUCCACAGUACAUAUGCACCACUUUUCUUAUUUUAUAUAUGUUUGGCUUCUUGCUGUUUCUAUCCAACUGGUUAUUUUAUUUUAUUUAUAGAAUCCUUUACUUCUGCUUUUCAGCCCCAAACACUCACCAAACUGCUCAGUCAAAAAAGAAAUGCAGUGAUGGCCUGCAGGUUUGUAACUGAAGAAGUGUGAUACAAAAAAAGAAAGGUAGAAAACGAAGAGGAUAUUCAUUGUAGAAAAUUGCUCUUUAAUAUUACUGCUAAAGAAUUGGUUUAUGUUUAUUUGUUUUUUCAUUGGAAGAAGAAUGAAUGUGCCAUAGCAAAAAAGAAAUAAACAGAUUAAUUUUCCCCCCACUGGAAUACAGGUAGUCCCUGGGUUGCAAACAUCUGACUUACAAACUACUCAUCAUUAAGAAUGGGGGUGAGACAACAGGAAGUGAAAGAAAUCUCACCCUCAGAAGGGAAAUUCAUUACUGAAAGAGUUAUUAUGAGGAAAAGGUGUCUCCACUGAAGCUUUCUUAUCAAUCCUUGCUUCCAAAAAAAGCCCCUUUUUUUCAAAAUCCAGUGAUCACAGGGACAGAAAGUGAGGUGAAAUCUUAUGAACAGUGGCACAGAGAGCAAAACAAACUCCACAGGGGUGUUAACCCUUCCCUAUGCUAUCCAAAGCUCUCUCUCUCUCUCUCUCUCUCUCAAUUUGUGUUUGUGUGUGUGUAGCUAGAAUUACACUUUUAAAAAAUACCUGUUCCAACUUCCAUACAAAUCAACUUGAAAACAAAUCCAUACAACGUAUCUUGUUUGUAACUUGGAGAUUACCUGUAAUCAGAAAUAACUGGGUGACUUCAACUAGAUCUACUUCCAGGCCACCAGCGAGGUAAAGUGCUUUGAGUGUUGGACUGUGUGUGCAUCUAUUCUGUAGAAUAAGGCAGUUUGACACUGCAGGUUUGUGAGACCCCAGCAAAGGAAAGUAAAGACCUUGUUAAACUAUAAUUCCAUAGCAUUUAUUUAUUUAUUUACUUCAAAUAUUUCUAUCCCGCCCUUCUCACCCGGAGGGACUUAGGGCGGCGUACAAUUGGCAACAAUUCGAUGCCUAUACAUCAUUAAAAACAACAACAUAUAAAAAAUACAACCAAUUAAAUACAGUAUAAAAUAUAAAACAUAAAACAUGUAUUUAAAAUCCGUUCGUCCAAUAUCCUCCAACUUUAUCCAUAUAACAAUCUGGGGCGUUUUUAUCAUUUAUUCAUUAAAAGCCUGGGCACAAAGCCAUGUUUUUAAGGCUUUUCUAAAACUCAAAAGGGUUGGGGCUUGCCGUAUAUCUCUGGGGAGGGUGUUCCAUAGCCGGGGAGCCACCACCGAGAAGGCCCUGUCCCUCGUUCCCACCAGCCGCGCCUGUGAGGCAGGCGGGACCGAGAGCAGGGCCUCUCCAGAUGACCUCAGGGAUCUUCCUGGCUCAUAGGAGGAGAUACGUUCGGACAAGUAGAUUGGGCCAGAACCGUUUAGGGCUUUAUAGGUCAAAACCAGCACUUUGAAUUGGGCUCGGUA
rnacentral:lncRNA from 11 species